AAUGAUCAAUUAAGUUGGUAGCGAAUGACUCCUUCAAUUUCCGAAAAUACCCGAACACAAACAAAAAAAAUGAGCUUCAAUAUUGUAAGUGUAUGUUUGGUUGCCUACUUUAGAGAUGUUUAAUCAAGUGGAAUACAGAAAAACCACUAAACGUCCACUCAAAUAUGGCAUUUCAAGAGAGGUAGGAAUUGAAAGCAACUUUUAUACUAUGGUGAUGAUGGUAGUAGGUAGGAUGGUGUCUUAAACUAGUGAUGUGAAAUGAAAGCCUUACGUCCUCUUGUCACUAUUUGUCAGGAGAUGGCGUUACGUUUGCACUUAUAUAUUAUAAUUUUUACCACGUUUUUACUUUUUUACAAUUAUUUUAAGAGGUUUAGAUGUACAGGCUGGUACAUUAGAAACUUUUAAUAUAGCUAGAGCUUCAAGAUUUUGUAUACAAUCUAAGUCGACCAUUCUGAGUUCAACAAAAUUAUUUUCAAAAUGGCUGAAUUUUUGGAACUACGGGAAAUUGGCCCCAACUUUAAAAUUUUAAAUAGUAACUAUUUAUUUUUAUUGCAUUAUUAAACUGAGUAAAAUGUAUUUUAAUUGCCAAAACUUAUCUAUCAUAGUUUUUGACGUAUGUCAAUUUUUUUCAUUGUAAGGGUCCAUUUAAAAUAUUACAUCGCGUGAACUCUUUAUAAUAAGUUAAUAAUUCUUUUUGCAUUUGAUAGCCAAAGGUUCAAGAGGUCUUCUCAAAUUUUCAGGAUUGUCAACUAUCAAUUUGCAAGGCUACUCUGAUUAAAAAGAAAAUGUUGGUUAAAAAAUUAUUACAAAACAGUUUUUCCAAAUGGAAUGACCCUGUCUUUUCAAUGGCAAUCAAUUUUUAUGCAAACUUUUAUUAACAUCUUCUAUAUCUAUCUCCUACAGUUUUUUAAAUAAUCGCAAAAAACAAAAAUUUGCUCAUUAUUUUCAUUUUUAAUCAAGUAAACUUUCGAAAAAUACGAUAAAAUUGUGCUAUUAAUUAAAAAAAUGUCGUAUUUGUUCAUCAUUUUCAUUCAAGAAGUUCAAAAUUCGAUGACAGACUGAUUGAAUUACUUUACAUAAUUCACUAAGUUAUAAUAAACUAUAAUUAAAUAUUUUUGUUUUAUUGCUUAUUUGAUAAUGAACCAGCUAAAAACUAAAUAAAAUAUUGAAGAUUCACAAUUGUUGAUGUAUUUUACAAGGUCUACUUGAUUAACCAUGAAAAUUACGAAGUAAAAUCCGUUUUUUGUGAUUUUUUUCAAAAACUGUAAGAGAUAUGUAUAGGACGUAUUGUUAAAAGUCACCAUAAAUAUAGAUAUUCUUUCGAUUGCCGUUAAGAAAAUAGGGUCUUCCAUUUGAAUAAACUGAGUUAUAGCCGAUUUUUGAUAACCAUUUUGAAAAAAUCACACUAGCCAUGAAUUUUGACACUUGACAAUUUCGAAAAUUCUAGAAAAUUCUUCAAACCUUCAGUUAUCUUAUACAAAAAAAAAAUAUUCACUUGUCGCAAAGGGUUUAGUGGAUGUGAUCUCUUAGAUAAACGCUUGCAAAUGAAAAUUUUUACAAAAAAAUUGACGUAUGUCAAAAAGUAUGACAGAUAAGUACCAACAACAUGGGUAAAUUUUACUCAGCUUGAAAAGGGGAAUUCAAAUAUGUAAUAAAAAUGUGUGGUUACUAUUUAAAAUUUCAAACUUGGCGCCAUUUUUUUGUAGUUUCGGAAGUUCAACCAUUUUGAAAAUAA